ACUAAUUUGGCAGAAAAGUGCAAUGGAUUUAGGAUCUAUAAAUGUAGAAUAUAUUCUAUAAGUAGUA
rnacentral:tRNA from 1 species